GUGCACAUUUCAUUGACCUGCUUUCUUUAUAUGUGAGUAGUGUUAUUUUCUCACGUGCUAUACAAAUAGUUGAAGGUUAAUUAGCAAUAUCACUAUAAAUAGUAAUGCUGCCAGUCUCCUUCAGACAAAG
ensembl:snoRNA